rfam:Nematostella vectensis strain CH2 x CH6 NEMVEscaffold_161_Cont16368, whole genome shotgun sequence.
GGGGAUGUAGCUCAAGGUAGAGUUUCCGCUUCGCAUGCGGAAGGACCGGUGUUCGAUCCCCCGCAUCUCCA